GUAGGGUGCGAGCGUUAAUCGGAAUUACUGGGCGUAAAGGGUGCGCAGGCGGUUGUACAAGACGGAUGUGAAAUCCCCGGGCUUAACCUGGGAAUGGCAUUCGUGACUGUAUAGCUAGAGUGUGUCAGAGGGGGGUAGAAUUCCACGUGUAGCAGUGAAAUGCGUAGAUAUGUGGAGGAAUACCGAUGGCGAAGGCAGCCCCCUGGGAUAACACUGACGCUCAUGCACGAAAGCGUGGGGAGCAAACAGGAUUAGAUACCCUGGUAGUCCACGCCCUAAACGAUGUCAACUAGUUGUCGGGUCUUAAUUGACUUGGUAACGCAGCUAACGCGUGAAGUUGACCGCCUGGGGAGUACGGUCGCAAGAUUA
rnacentral:rRNA from 1 species